GGCAGCAUGGUGUAGUGGUUUGAGCAUUGGAUCGUGACUCUGGAGACCAGGGUUCAAAUCCCUGCUCAGCCA